CGGAACACAGGUGCUGCAUGGCUGUCGUCAGCUCGUGUCGUGAGAUGUUGGGUUAAGUCCCNCAACGAGCGCAACCCUUGUCCUUAGUUGCYAGCGGUUCGGCCGGGCWCUCUAGGGAGACUGCCGGUGACAAACCGGAGGAAGGUGGGGAUGACGUCAAGUCCUCAUGGCCYUUAUGUCYAGGGCUACACACGUGCUACAAUGGCGCGUACAGAGGGAAGCCAAGCCGCGAGGUGGAGCAGACCCCAGAAAGCGCGUCGUAGUUCGGAUUGCAGUCUGCAACUCGACUGCAUGAAGUCGGAAUCGCUAGUAAUCGCGGAUCAGCAUGCCGCGGUNAAUA
rnacentral:rRNA from 1 species